UACAGAGGGUGCGAGCGUUAAUCGGAAUUACUGGGCGUAAAGCGCACGUAGGUGGCGACGUAAGUCGGGGUGUGAAGGCCCCGGGCUCAACCUGGGAAUUGCAUUCGAGACUGCAUUGCUGGAGUACGGGAAGAGGAGGGCGGAAUUCCCGGUGGUAGCGGUGAAAUGCGUAGAUAUCGGGAGGAACAUCAGUGGCGAAGGCGGCCCUCUGGUCCAGUACUGACACUUCAAAGUGCG
rnacentral:rRNA from 1 species